CCUACGGGAGGCAGCAGUAGGGAAUCUUCGGCAAUGGACGGAAGUCUGACCGAGCAACGCCGCGUGAGUGAAGAAGGUUUUCGGAUCGUAAAGCUCUGUUGUAAGAGAAGAACGAGUGUGAGAGUGGAAAGUUCACACUGUGACGGUAUCUUACCAGAAAGGGACGGCUAACUACGUGCCAGCAGCCGCGGUAAUACGUAGGUCCCGAGCGUUAUCCGGAUUUAUUGGGCGUAAAGCGAGCGCAGGCGGUUAGAUAAGUCUGAAGUUAAAGGCUGUGGCUUAACCAUAGUACGCUUUGGAAACUGUUUAACUUGAGUGCAAGAGGGGAGAGUGGAAUUCCAUGUGUAGCGGUGAAAUGCGUAGAUAGAUGGAGGAACACCGGUGGCGAAAGCGGCUCUCUGGCUUGUAACUGACGCUGAGGCUCGAAAGCGUGGGGAGCAAACAGGAUUAGAUACCCCUGUAGUC
rnacentral:rRNA from 1 species